GCCUGGGUGGCUCAGUCGGUUGAGCGUCUGACUUCGGCUCAGGUCAUGAUCUCACGGUCUGUGAGUUCCAGUCCCGCAUCGGGCU
rfam:Felis catus isolate Cinnamon breed Abyssinian chromosome D1, whole genome shotgun sequence.